rnacentral:rRNA from 1 species
CAAUAGCGUAUAUUAAAGUUGUUGCAGUUAAAAAGCUCGUAGUUGGAUUUCUGGUAGGAGCGACCGUGCCGAACUUGAUUGUUCGAGUAUUGUGUUGUCUUCAGCCAUCCUCGUGGAGAACUUUUCUAACAUUAACUUGUUGGGAUUGGGACCCGCGUCGUUUACUGUGAAAAAAUUAGAGUGUUUAAAGCAGGCAUUAGCUUGAAUACAUUAGCAUGGAAUAAUAAGAUAGGACUUUGGUACUAUUUUGUUGGUUUGCAUACCAAAUUAAUGAUCAACCGGAACAGUUUGAGGAUAUUCGUAUGAACAUGUCAGAGGUGAAAUUCUUGGAUUUUGAUCAGACGAACUACUGCGAAAGCAUUUAUCAAGGAUGUUUUCAUUAA